AAAUCCUGCCUUGCUCCGGCCCUCAUCCCCCCCCCGGCUCCAAGCCAGCGAGCCGGGCUUCUUACCCAUUUAAAGUUUGAGAAUAGGUUGAGACCGUUUCAGCCCCAAGACCUCUAAUCAUUCGCUUUACCAGAUAAAACUGCGAGUCCGAGAUCCAGCUUUCCGGGGGGACACUUCGGACGGAACCAGCUACUAGAUGGUUCGAUUAGUCUUUCGCCCCUAUACCCUGGUC